GGAGUUAGCCGGUGCUUCUUCUGUGAGUGAUGUCCUUCCUGCCGGCUAUUAACCCGCAGGCCUUCUUCCUCACUGAAAGUGCUUUACAACCCGAAGGCCUUCUUCACACACGCGGCAUGGCUGGAUCAGGGUUGCCCCCAUUGUCCAAUAUUCCCCACUGCUGCCUCCCGUAGGAGUCUGGGCCGUGUCUCAGUCCCAGUGUGGCUGAUCAUCCUCUCAGACCAGCUACGGAUCGUCGCCUUGGUGAGCCGUUACCUCACCAACCAGCUAAUCCGACAUAGGCUCAUCCGAUAGCGCGAGGCCCGAAGGUCCCCCGCUUUCCCCCGUAGGGCGUAUGCGGUAUUAGCCUGGGUUUCCCCAGGUUAUCCCCCACUACCGGGCAGAUUCCUAUGCAUUACUCACCCGUCCGCCGCUCGCCACCAGGGAGCAAGCUCCCCGUGCUGCCGCUCGACUUGCAUGUGUUAGGCCUGCCGCCAGCGUUCAAUCUGAGCCAUAAUCGAAACCUCUCGA
rnacentral:rRNA from 1 species